GGUGGCAGUAGGAGGCAUCGUGUCAGUUCUGCCACUAUGAGACCCUGGGUGUGACUUCUCAGAUGUGGUCACCUUCCCUGGUUCUGUGUUGUGGGCACCCCUCCAGGACCACAGGCUGUCUACCAUCUCUGCUGCAGUUCCACUAUGUUCUUGGCUCCCAAAUCCUGGCCAGAUCCUGAGCUCAGCCCAACGGGAAGCAGCUGACCACAUGAUCAGUAACCUGACUGGAGUAAGGCUGGAAAACGAACCAGAUGAGAAGUUGAUGCUCUACGUAGUGACUUGGUCAAGAAAACCGAUCAGGAAGCUGAAACAUGGGUGCUGCAGGAAUGCCAGGUGUCUGUGACCCAAAGCCAGCCUGUGGUAGAAGGCCUUUUAUUUCUGAGUGACUUUGCCUUGAAUCAUGCGGACAAUAAAGAACUUCCAAAGAAACAGCCCCAUAAGCCCAAACUGAUAGAUUUCAGAGACGAACAAUGAGGCACUGCCUCUCUGUAGACGCCCUGUUGUGCCUCAGCCUCCGAGUCAGUGUGGAAGGCAAACACCCUCACACAUAGAUAUGCUGCCUGUGAGUCACAAAAGCAACCCACUGACUCUCCAUAAUACCUGUGGCAUUCUCCCUACUGUCACAUCCGAUUGAAAUCUCUCCCAUGAGGGAAGCAAUUCUCCAGCGAUCUCACAAUUUUCCAUCAGAAAUUCUACAAGCAGAGAAACCACAUGACCCCAAAUUAAACUUGUAGAUAUUCAUCCGAGAGAAGGGAAGUGGCACAAAGUUGUAUACAAUGGUUCCCUAGCAGCUUUAUUCAUAAUAGAUUGGUGAGUCUUCUUUAAAGACUGAGGCUAAGUUUACUUCAAAACGAGAAUGUAUUUUCUCCUCGAACUGUCCGCAGGAUUCCAUAUCGACAGAGUGUCUGAAGCUGCCUCUGAGAGGGACUCUAGGCAAGCUGACAUGCUCACAAAUAUCCAGGAACCCUAACGCACUCUCCCGGCCCAGGGUUUCCUGCAGAUAUGCACAUACUGACCAGCAGUUGCAAGAGCCUCUCCAGCAGGCCCAACUUAUUUUGGGCGUUCUAUUCUAGGCAUCUUCUGGCCUUAGUAUCAAAACCCAAGUGCUCAGCAUCUGGAUCUUCAGUGCCUGAGGGCUGCGUACCUGGCUUAGCAGCAUCACACAUAUUACCUCUUGAUCAUCACCAUGUAUCAAGACAGUAGGUCAUGUUAUAUGCAUCUUGCAGAUGAGAAAACUAGUCUCCACAGAGGUGAAGUGACUUGCCCAAAGCCACAUAGCUGGUGAAUCUUGGGUUGGGAUGGAACCCACAUGAACUGGCUCCUGCAGUAACUGAGGUUACCCCGUCAUAGGUAGAAUGAACUAUUGGGAGUGAUCGCUGAGCUGCACCAAAGGGGAGCAUGAGGGUCUCAUCCCAUGAGGACAUACACUGCUGCACACUGUUCUGUCAGUUUGGCCAGGCUGUAUUUCCUGUCCUGCAGUGUCUAACAAGCUUCCACACACAAGAAUGGCUUCACCCAUCGGCUGGCCUUGAUGCCCUCCUGGGAUGCCCAGGCCAAGAGAUGGGGUUGAAGCCCUUGAGUUCUAAUCUUAGCAUUUUACAAGAACUGAGUGAUUCCUCACAAUAGCCCUAUGUAAUAAGUUCUGUUAGCAUCCCCAUUUAACAGGCAAGAAGGACCCCCAUCCUCUCACAGCUAGUAAGUGGCAAAGUCAGAACUAACAUCCAGGUUUUUUCCUGACACCAGCGCUGGGCUUUAAUCUCUAUCUUCUCUGAGAUUAGAUGAAAAAAGGCAGUGGGGGCGGGAAAGGGGUUGCUGGUGCAAAAAAUGAGGGUCUUAGCUCCUUUGCAGUAGAAUAGCCAUUUCUGGGUUCAGUGGCAAAGCAGUAAUGGAGCCAGAGGCUGCUGGGGACAAUCUCUCAAGUCAGGCCACAAACAAGUGGGAGAGCAACCAAUUAGAUUAGGACCUUAAUCACAGGCUUGGCUCAGAGCCUAGUAGCAGAAGCUUACUGAAGCCCCGUGGCUAAGAAUUUCCCACUAGGCUGCUCAACCCUCUGCACUCAGGCAGCCCAGCCCCACCCCAUCCCCACCCCUACCUUCUGGACUUGGAACUUGGAGCCAUGGGAACUUGUGAAUCAAAUUCUGGCCAAGAAUUUGACAUGUUGGGUGAGCGACUCAUUCCAAACCUAAUAGUUCAUCGUUAUGGGGAAGUCCUUCUCCAAGCUAUCAGCGCACAAAGUGAUGCCUCCAACCCUUCUGCCCUUUCUCUCCAACAUUACUGUACCCAGGCACCCACCCUCCUUCCUCUUGUCUUCACAAAGAGACCGCUUGUCCUCCAGGCCUAGGUGAUGAGGAAGCCCCUUCCCUCCCAGUCCUCCUUCAGUCCACCCAUUUCUGCCACACCACAGGGCUGUUCUCUGCCUUCUCUGGGGUUAGAAGCAAAGAGAGCCAGGGAGAGGCGUGCUAGGGUGAGAGGUAACAAAGAUGCAAAUGGCCGUGUGGCUAAAACGGUGACGCAGCAACACAAAACUAAAGGUGGCUGGAAGAAACGCGGAGAGCCCUGGAGUCCCAGCUCUCCGCAGGCAGCAUCCGGGGGACCCUUUGCGCGGGGGAUGCUGACCCCUGCUGGCUGCACGCGAGAAUGCAGCGUGGCUGCCGCGGGACCAUGACAGUGACCUGGUAGUCACCGACCGCCCCUGGGAAGGGCUGAGCUCGUGGUGCGACAACAGCCCCAGGACCUGUAGGAACUGUAGGGAAGGUGAGCAAAGGCAGGGACCGGGAGGGCCCGGGCAUCAGAGGCCCUGAGUUCUAGUUCUACCCCCACAACCUUCCGGUAACAUUGCAGACUGCCUCAGCCCCUCCCAGCUCUCAAAUGCUAUCACCUCCUUACAUGCUUUAGGAGAAGAAUAAGAAGAAAAAGUGUAAAGAAGAAAAACUAUAGUGUAAAUGACUGACAUCCCUUUAGGGCCUACCUGGGCCUCCAAAAGGCUUCCAUCCGCGUUUUCCUCAGAACCUGCCAACUCCCAGUCCUGAGCCAGUGAAGCAGCGUUCAUCUAACAGAUGGUUACUGACUGAUGGUUGGAUGGCGGCUUCCAAAAAUAUCCAGGUGCUAAUCCCAGAAACCUGUGACCAUUACCUUAUAUGGCACAAGGGACUUCACAGGUGUGAUUAAGCGAAGGCUGUUUGAGACGGGAGGAGGAUCCCGAGUUUUCAGGUGGUCUGGAACCAACCCUGCAAUAUCUUUGAAGUAUGCCUGUAAGUUGGAGGCAGAGGAAGACCAUACUACAGAAGAGAAAGAAAGCCAUAUUACAAAGGGAAGGGAGCAGAAAAAGAGAAAUGUAAGAUGCUAUGCUGCUCACUUUAAAGUUGGGUAAGGGGCCACGGGCCAAAGAAUUC